GACGAACGCUGGCGGCGUGCUUAACACAUGCAAGUCGAGCGGAAAGGCCCCCAUCUUGGUGGGGGUGCUCGAGUGGCGAACGGGUGAGUAACACGUGGGUGAUCUGCCCUGUACUUCGGGAUAAGCUUGGGAAACUGGGUCUAAUACCGGAUAGGACCAUGGUUUAGUGUCUCAUGGUGGAAAGAUUAUUGUUUUGGUGCAGGAUGAGCUCGCGGCCUAUCAGCUUGUUGGUGGGGUAAUGGCCUACCAAGGCGUCGACGGGUAGCCGGCCUGAGAGGGUGGACGGGGACAUUGGGACUGAGAUAAGGCCCAGACUCCUACGGGAGGCAGCAGUGGGGAAUAUUGCACAAUGGGCGCAAGCCUGAUGCAGCGACGCCGCGUGGGGGAUGACGGCCUUCGGGUUGUAAACUCCUUUCGUUAGGGACGAAGCCACGCUUGUUGGGUGUGGUGACGGUACCUUUGUUAAGAAGCACCGGCUAACUACGUG
rnacentral:rRNA from 1 species